rnacentral:lncRNA from 1 species
GCCUUGGGGAUCGGACAGCCUGGCCCAGGUGAGAAGUCUCAAUUAGGUGAGUUUCCCCGGCCUGGGGAAUGUAGGCCAAAGAUGUACAAGCUGCAACCCAUGCACAAGACGAUCCAAAGUUGCAAAACGUUGGAAGAAACCCGGCCUGGAACUGCAAGAUGGCAACUUCCGCAGCCUCCUGGGUCACCUGGAAACCCGAAGGAGGUCGGAGCUGCUGAGCCUGGAGCUGCUUGUGUCUGACAGAAUCCACCUUUCUUCAUACUUGAGCGAGCAGCAUCGAUGCUAACAGCAAAUGGCAUCUCCUCAUCUCAGCUUGUCCUUCAGGGGGACACACAGUAAAAUCACCCACAAAGAGCACACAAGGAGUCACCAGCCUGUAAAUCAGUCUCUGUUCCAGCUGUCUGCAUUCCCAAAGGCACUGGUCCUGAGCUUUGCCUGAGAUUACACUACGCUGAGCUCAAAGGUCAGUCUCUCCAGGGUCCUUUCUCUUCUUGGAGCUUAUGGGCUCUGGUAGGGCAGAAGCAGAAAGCACUUUGGCCUCCUUCAGGAUUAUUAAACGAUUCUCAUGUCACAGUUCAGAGAAAAGCACUUUGUACUCCAAGAUAAGAAUGGCAGUAUCAACCUCCUGGUUGUGUUUAAAACAAUAAAACCUUGAUCAUUGCUCAUAAACCUGGACUCU